rnacentral:rRNA from 1 species
UACGUAGGCGUCAAGCGUUAUCCGGAUUUAUUGGGCGUAAAGGGUCCGUAGGCGGACUGACAAGUCUGAUAUCAAAGAUCUCGGCUUAACCGAGGGAAGGUGUUGGAAACUGUUAGUCUAGAGGCCGGAUAGAGGUUACUGGAACUUAUCGAGUAGGGGUAAUAUCCGUUGAUACGAUAAGGAACACCAAAGGCGAAGGCAGGUAACUGG